AAUCGAUCGAUGGAGAGAGCACGUGCAUGGUAGUCAGACCUUAGACGUAAUGCGGCGCGAUUAUUGCGGUUAAUUUCCACGAGAUGGUUCGUGUUACAUUAUCCAAUAUUCUGCACGUGCUAACACGUUCUAUAACCGAUAUAAUGCAUCGUCCCCAAUCGCAAAACCCGUUCGCAUACAAAAAAAAAACUCG